GGGGUUAUAGCUCAGUGGCAGAGAGCUUGCCUAGCAUGCAUGAAGCAUUGGGUUCUAUCCUUAGCACCG
rnacentral:tRNA from 1 species